UACGAAGGGGGCUAGCGUUGUUCGGAUUUACUGGGCGUAAAGCGCACGUAGGCGGAUUGUUAAGCCAGGGGUGAAAUCCCGGAGCUCAACUCCGGAACUGCCUUUGAUACUGGCAAUCUUGAGGCUGGAAGAGGUUGGUAGAAUUCCCAGUGUAGAGGUGAAAUUCGUAGAUAUUGGGAAGAAUACCAGUGGCGAAGGCGGCCAACUGGUCCAGAUCUGACGCUGAGGUGCGAAAGCGUGGGGAGCAAACAGG
rnacentral:rRNA from 1 species